rnacentral:rRNA from 1 species
GCCCUACGGGGUGCAGCAGGCGCGAAAACUUUACAAUGCUGGCAACAGCGAUAAGGGAACCUCGAGUGCCAGGUUACAAAUCUGGCUGUCGAGAUGCCUAAAAAGCAUUUCAUAGCAAGGGCCGGGCAAGACCGGUGCCAGCCGCCGCGGUAACACCGGCGGCUCGAGUGGUAACCGUUAUUAUUGGGUCUAAAGGGUCUGUAGCCGGCCGGAUAAGUCUCUUGAGAAAUCUGGCAGCUUAACUGUCAGGCUUUCAGGAGAUACUGUCUGGCUCGAGGCCGGGAGAGGUGGGAGGUACUUCAGGGGUAGGGGUGAAAUCUUGUAAUCCUUGAAGGACCACCAGUGGCGAAGGCGUCUCACCAGAACGGACCUGACGGCAAGGGACGAAAGCUAGGGGCACGAACCGGAUUAGAUACCCGGGUAGUCCUAGCCGUAAACGAUACUCGCUAGGUGUCGGCCACGGUGCGACCGUUGUCGGUGCCGUAGGGAAGCCGUGGAGCGAGCCACCUGGGAAGUACGGCCGCAAGGCUGAAACUUAAAGGAAUUGGCGGGGGAGCACCACAACGGGUGGAGCUUGCGGUUUAAUUGGAUUCAACGCCGGAAAUCUUAC